CAACCCCGCCGCUCUCACUCGCCUAACAGAAGCCGAGCUGAGAGCAUCAUCCGCUUUGAGCGCUUAGGCGCAGUGAUUACAUCCUCUCACAGAGGGAGAAAGUCCUGCUAUUCGCCAGUCCUGCUUUUAUGAUUUUGUAGAAGUUGCAUUUGUUGUAGAUUCCGCCCGUGCGUAAAAAGGGACUUUUUUUGUUUUCUUAUUUUUGUUCCUACUCGUGUGGAAUUCCCUGGUGUUUUGUGACUUUGUGUGAAGAAAGGGACUGUCUGUUCUGUGCACAGGGAGUGUUGGCUAUGCGUCCUGGCUCCAGCCUGCAAUGUUUUGCGCCGACGCCAAAACUGACAGACCGGUGCAGAAUUGAUUAAAAAACAGAGAAGCUCGGAUCAAAUGGCUGUGCUUCUCACAGCUGAAACGACACAAUGUUCCACUGACCCGAGGCAGAGGAGAGGAAUUUCACAAUCGGGCAGCCUUGUUGCUGUUUAUUUCACUGCCUUUUUACGGACAGAGGAAAUGGGAAAUGCUCAUUUCUUGUAAGGAAAGGGAAUAAUACUUAUUUUUUUCUUCCCCUCCCCUCCGCAGCCCCCGUCUUGAAGUGCACUUUUUGUGAGAGGGAGAGGAGAUGAUUUGGUUAAUUUUCCUGUUCUCCAUCCUGGAUGGAGCUGUCUCUCAGCUCCACUACUCCGUGCCAGAGGAGCAGGAACCUGGCUCCGUGGUUGGGAAUAUCGCAGAGGAUUUGGGGCUGGACAUUACGAAACUUUCCGCUCGCCGCUUCCAGACGGUGCCGAGUUCACGGACACCGUAUCUGGAGGUGAACUUAGAGAACGGCGCGCUCGUGGUGAAGGAGAAAAUCGACCGGGAAGAAAUAUGCAAGCAGAGCACCCCGUGCCUACUGCACCUGGAGGUGUUUUUGGAGAACCCGCUGGAGCUCUUUCGCGUGGAAAUAGAAGUGAUGGAUAUCAACGACAAUCCUCCCAGCUUUCCCGAGACCGACAUUUCCGUGGAGAUAUCGGAGAGCGCCAUUCCCGGGACCCGUUUCCCGGUGGAGAACGCCUUCGACCCGGACGUGGGCACAAACGCGCUCAGCACAUACGCCAUAACGAACAAUAACUACUUCUACCUUGACGUGCAGACGCAGAGCGACGGGAACAAGUUCGCGGAGCUGGUGCUGGAGAAGCCGCUGGACAGGGAGCAGCAGGCGGUGCACCGCUACGUGUUGACGGCUGUGGACGGGGGCAUCCCGCAGCGCACCGGGACGGCUCUCCUGGUCGUUAAAGUCCUGGACUCGAACGACAACGCGCCCACCUUUGACCAGUCCGUGUACUCUGUCAACCUGCGGGAAAACUCUCCCGUGGGCACUCUGGUAAUUCAGCUCAACGCCACGGAUGUUGACGAGGGACAAAACGGGGAAAUAGUUUAUUCGUUCAGCAGUCACAACGCCCCACGGAUAAAGGACUUAUUCAACAUCGAUGCCCGGACAGGUAGGAUAGAGGUGGCGGGGGAGGUGGACUAUGAGGAGAGCAACACGCAUCAGAUUUACGUCCAGGCUAAAGAUCUGGGGGCUAACGCGGUUCCCGCGCACUGCAAAGUGCUGGUCAAACUCACAGACGUGAACGACAACACGCCGGAGAUCGGUUUCAGCACUGUGACCGAAUCCGUGAGCGAGCAGGACGCCCCGGGCACCGUGAUCGCACUUUUCAGCGUCUCGGACAGGGACGCUGGCGAUAAUGGACACAUGAGCUGCGAGAUAUUAGGAGACGUUCCAUUCAAGCUGAAGUCCUCGUUUAAAAACUACUACACCAUCGUGACUGACGGUCCGCUGGACAGAGAGAGCACGGACUCCUACACCGUCACCGUGGUGGCCAAAGACAAGGGCCAGCCGUCGCUGGCCACCAGCAAGUCCAUCAAAGUGCACGUGUCCGACGAGAACGACAACGCUCCGCGCUUUACGCAGGCUGUUUAUGAUGUGUAUGUGACUGAGAAUAACGUGCCCGGUGCGUUCAUUCACGCUGUAAGCGCUCUGGACCCUGACAUGGGACACAACGCUCUUAUUACCUACUCCAUAUUGGAGUGCGACAUACAGGGCAUGUCUGUGGACACCUAUGUGUCCAUAAACCAGGACACAGGUUACCUUUACGCGCUGCGCUCUUUUGAUUACGAGCAGCUGAAGGAGUUCAGCUUCAUGGUCCAGGCUAAAGACUCUGGCGCCGCCGAGCUCUUCUCCAACGCCACCGUGAAUGUCAUCAUAGUGGACCAAAACGACAACGCCCCCGCUGUGAUAGCCCCAAUCGGUAAAAACGGCACAGCCAAAGAGCACCUGCCGCGCUCUGCAGAGCCCGGGUACCUGGUGACGCGCAUUGUAGCCAUGGAUGCGGACGACGGCGAGAACGCACGGCUGUCGUACAGCAUCCUGCGGGGGAACGAGAUGGGGAUGUUCCGCAUGGAUUGGCGCACGGGGGAGCUGAGGACAUCCCGCAGGAUCUCUCCUAAGCGGGACCCACAGGGGUACUACGACCUGCUGAUCGAGGUGAGGGACCACGGGCAGCCCCCACUCUCCUCCUCCGCAAGCGUGAGCGUGGUGUUGGUUGACAGCGUAGUGGAAGGCCGCAGCGGGGACCGGGGCUCGGCCUCCAAGGCCAAGGAGACCUCCCUGGACCUGACUCUGAUCCUCAUCAUCGCUCUGGGCUCCGUGUCCUUCGUCUUCCUGCUGGCUAUGAUCGUGCUGGCCGUGCGCUGCCAGAAGGACAAGAAGCUCAACCUGUACACGUGCCUCAUGGCCGGUAACUGCUGCCUGUGUUGUAGCGCGUGCUGCAGCCGGCAGGCCCGCGGGCGCAAGCAGAAGAAGCUGAGCAAGUCCGACAUCAUGUUGGUCCAGAGCACCAACGUGACGUCAGGGGUCGGGGCCGUGGGCCAGGUGCCCGUGGAGGAGUCCGGGGUGGGCGGCGUGGGAGGGGGCUUCGGCUCCCACCACCACCAGAACCAGAACUCCUACUGCUACCAGGUGUGUCUGACGCCGGAGUCCGCCAAGACGGAUCUGAUGUUCCUGAAGCCGUGCAGCCCCUCCCGGAGCACGGACACGGAUCACGCCAACCCCUGCGGCGCCAUAGUCACGGGUUACAGUGACCAACAGCCGGACAUCAUAUCCAACGGCAGUAUCCUUUCUAACGAGACAAAACACCAACGAGCAGAACUCAGCUAUCUGGUGGACAGACCCAGACGUGUCAACAGUUCGGCUUUCCAAGAGGCCGACAUCGUCAGCUCCAAAGACAGUGGUCAUGGCGACAGCGAACAGGGCGACAGUGACCAUGACGCCACUAACCGGGGUCAUUCAGCCGGCACCGACCUGUUCUCUAACUGCACGGAGGAGUGCAAAGCCCUGGGCCACUCGGACCGCUGCUGGAUGCCGUCCUUUGUGCCGUCCGACGGGCGCCAGGGGCCGGACUACCGCAGCAACCUGCACGUGCCCGGGAUGGACGCCACACUGCCCGACACUGAGGUACCCGCCUCUGUCAACCUGUCCGACCAACUCACCGUGACCGCGUCCACCGCCUCGGCCAGCGAUAGGUCAUUCUCCACCUUUGGCAAGGAGGGUCAAAGGUCACAGUCACACCACAGCCUUCACCAUCACCUCCAUCAGCAACAGCAGCAGUACAGCUCCAGCACGCUAGAGAGGAAAGAGUAUGAUAGGGGGACCCUACCGUACAAAGCCACCUUUCUCUGUGAGUAUCAGUAUGAAAGUUCCCUGGGACCCUACGACUUCGGUCUGGUCCAGUACAGAUACUAGAGAUGGGGAGGAUGAAUCUGAUCCGGACUUUUUUUAUGUUGUUCAUCUACUUUUUCUUCUUCUAUUUUUAGUUUUUUUUAAAACGGCUUUAUGUUUUGUUUUGUUUUAAAUUAUGAUUUAUUUUGUGGAAUGUAAAAUGUACGCUAUUAUUGCUAACUCCCCCUUUUUCCAAACCCACUUUGAAAAAAUUCUAUCUAACCCCAUCCUAACCCUCACUACUGUCUGUAAUGAUGUGACUUAUUAUAAAAUAAACACAAUUUAAAUUGGACCCAUGUUAAUCCGCUGUGGCCCUUUUUUUUUUACUUUUUAAUUACCUUUCUCUAAAUUUCCCCCUCAAAAUCCUCUCCAAUCAGCUUUUUUAUCUGAUGCUCAUAUAAGUAAAGGUCACCGACACAAGCACACGUCACAUUUCCAUUCCAAAACCUGAAUCCAGUAUAUAGAGAGGAAAUGAAAGCUAGAUCAUCUCAUGCUGCGAAGGACAUCUUUUUCUUUCUCCAUUUGCUCAACAACAGAGUUUAGCUCGAGCGUGAUGGCUUCCCUACUGAAUAGCUCCAAAGGUGAAACGCACAACCCACGCUUAGUCUCUUUCAUGAGGAUUGAAGUCCGUUUUGUGCUAAAAAGGAAGUGUCGAGUAUCUAUACUCGCCUGCUUGUGGAUCAAUACCUGACAUAAAGAAGGGCGGGGUGGGUGAGGUGGGCUGUCAAGCCUCGGGUCAAGAUUCUUCAGCUGGAGGAGACACGACACACAGGUUACUAUAUGAGGGCGCUAUCAUUUAGCAAAUGAAAUAUAUUCAUAUCCAUUGGAAUAAAAUGGAGUUUCCCUGCUUGCGUUUUCUAAAGGAGCAUGGUGUGGACAUGAUGGCUGGACACUUCUUGCACAUGUCAAUUGCUUUCCCAGCUCCCACAUUACAUGAAUAUUCUAUUAGCUCUAAGAGUAGCGAAUGGAUUCGAUGUACACAUUCAGUAGAGAAGUCAUUUCCAGUCAAGUCACCGCCAUGCUAACCACCAUCCUCCAUGAUACUGCAUGCAGACCGUGGGAUGUCCCUCAGCCCGCAAAAGGAUUUGCUAGCUCGUUCCACGUGGACCUGUCGGAGACAGCGUGAGUUUCUGUGCUAGACCACCAACACUGAUGCUGGAGACAGCAACGUUAAAACUACACAAACAGCAACCCCGGACAACAGCAACCUUGGUCAAGCUUCAUUAUCUCGUGUGGCGAACUGUAACAAAGCCCUGGCAGUGGUCGCCGAGGGGGGAGAGGAGAACUAAAUACUGAGUAGCUGUAAACCACUAGAUAACUGAGGAGCGAUCCAAGGCCUUAUUCCUCUCAGCAGGACUGAGACCGGGGCCCCAAAAAGCACUUGACAUGUGAACAUUAUAAAUUCAUCAGCAGACGGAUGAGAGGAAGUUAAAGGAACAGAGGAGUGCAAAACAAGAAGAGGGAGCGAUUAACUCACAGAGGUGGGUUGUGUCUUGUUUUUUCUGGACUGAGGAGUUAGCCUCUAGAGAUCUGUGUGUGCCUGUUUACAUGAAGAAGAAAAAAAAACCUAACGUUUCUGUACAAACCAAUGUCACACGGAACCCUUUAGCUAUUUCUAUGGUCACCACUUAGCCAACUGUACAGAGACUGUGUGUGUUAGGGGGUGAGGGGGGGGGGGGGGGGGGGUGGAGACUGACAGCGGAGACACUGGGCGAGAGACAGACUACUAGACAGAGAGAGGGAGCGGGUGUUGUACAGGUGUAAAAUCACGCAACAAAAAGGAAAA